rnacentral:rRNA from 1 species
AUUGAACGCUGGCGGCAGGCCUAACACAUGCAAGUCGAGCGGAUGACGGGAGCUUGCUCCUUGAUUCAGCGGCGGACGGGUGAGUAAUGCCUAGGAAUCUGCCUGGUAGUGGGGGACAACGUUUCGAAAGGAACGCUAAUACCGCAUACGUCCUACGGGAGAAAGCAGGGGACCUUCGUGCCUUGCGCUAUCAGAUGAGCCCAGGUCGGAUUAGCUAGUUGGUGGGGUAAUGGCUCACCAAGGCGACGAUCCGUAACUGGUCUGAGAGGAUGAUCAGUCACACUGGAACUGGGACACGGUCCAGACUCCUACGGGAGGCAGCAGUGGGGAAUAUUGGACAAUGGGCGAAAGCCUGAUCCAGCCAUGCCGCGUGUGUGAAGAAGGUCUUCGGAUUGUAAAGCACUUUAAGUUGGGAGGAAGGGCAGUAAGUUAAUACCUUGCUGUUUUGACGUUACCGACAGAAUAAGCACCGGCUAACUCUGUGCCAGCCGCCGCCGUAA